rnacentral:rRNA from 1 species
UCGAUGAAGAACGCAGCGAAAUGCGAUAAGUAGUGUGAAUUGCAGAAUUCAGUGAAUCAUCGAAUCUUUGAACGCACAUUGCGCCUCCUGGCAUUCCAGGAGGCAUGCCUGUUCGAGCGUCAUGAAGACCAUUUCAAGCUUUUUGCUUGGUUUGGAGGUUGAGCGUUGCCCGUGUGCUCGUCCCCUUUGAAAUUUGCUGGCGGACUGCUCCAUGUUCCAUUUGGCGUUAUAGGAUAACUCUUUCGCUUGGACUCAUGAGGCUGUCCUGCCCAAUAACCCCCAAUUAAUCUGACGUUGACCUCGGAUCAGGUAGGGAUACCCGCUGAACUUAA